rnacentral:tRNA from 1 species
UAUAUUUUAGUUAUAAAACAUUUUAUUUACACUAAAAAAAUAUCAU